GGUCUGUCUUCCCCUUGUUCAGUGUGACCUCAUCUGAGAAGGUGGACAAAGCUCAAAGAUAUGCAGAUUUCACUUUGUUAUCUAUACCAUACCCAGGUUGUGAAUUUUUUAAGGACUACAAGGAUCGUGAUUACACAGCUGAAGGGCUGGUGUUCAACUGGAACCAGGAUUUUGUCGAUGCACCGUUGAAUAUACCUCCUUCACUGGCUGAAAAUCUGAAUAUUGACUGGAGGGAAUAUCAGUCUUGGGAUCUUGUUCAACAGACCCAGAAUUACCUGAAGCUGCUUAUUCAUACAAUAAAUCGAGAUGAAGAAAGUGGUUUGUUAGUGCACUGUAUUUCUGGCUGGGAUCGAACUCCACUCUUUAUCUCUCUCCUUCGUUUGUCACUGUGGGCUAGAACCUACCAUCCCAGAAAUCAGUCUGGUGAAUCUUUGCUGCAUUCUCUCUAUGGAAAGUAUAUCUUUUCUUGGGUAAGGAAACUAAAACUGCACGUAAUACUGUGAAUGUGGUUUUAUGAAGGCCCUGCACUCCCCAUCACUCAUACUCCCCUUAAUUGUAUUUCAUCAGCAAACUUGGAAAUAUUACAUUCUAUUUCCUCAUUAAAAUUAUUGAUAUAUUGUGAAUAGCUGGGGCCCAAGCACGAUCCCUCUGGUACCCCACUUGUCUCUACCUUUCACUAAGAACAUGGCCCAUUUAUUCGUACUCUGUAUCCUCUGCCAACCUAAUUUCAAUCAAUGCUGAUGUAUUAUCAUCAGUCCCACAUGUUUUGAUUUUGUACAAUAAGUUCUAACAGGUGACUUUUUUAGAAACUUCCUGAAAAUUCAAAUAUGUCAUACCCACUGGCUUGGUUAUCUGUUCCAAUUGUUAGGUCUUCAAAAGCUACAAUAGGUUUGUCAAAGACAAUUUCCUUUUCAUAUAUCCAUGUUGACUUUGAGUAAUGCCAUUGGUAUUCUAAGUGUCCUGUUGCUGCAUCCUUCCAGCAUUUUCCCUCCUACCAAUGUGUGCUAACCCAUCUGUAACUCAUAGUUUUUCUCCUUCUCCCUUGUAUUUCUAUUCUCUGAUCGGUUGGGAUUGUUUCAGGGUCUGUAAAAUUUUUAGAAGUUGACAACCAGUGUAUCCACUAUUUCUGUGGCUAGUUGAUUUAGUAUCCUGGGGCGUUGAUUAUCUGGCCCUGGAGAUUUAUCAGUUUUCAGUCCCACUAAUUUUCUCUGACACUCUAUUUUAGAAACUAAUCUUAAUAUCAUUUAAUUCCCCUUUUUCCAGAGACACUUACUUCUGUAGCACUUGUGGAAAGACAGAAUCAAAGUAUUUGUUGAUCUGCUCUGUUGUCGUCUUAUCUAUUAUCAGUUCCCCUGGUCCAGACUGUUGUUAACUAAAGACAUUUGACUACUUUUUUUUUAAACCUAAUUUAUAGAAUCUUAUGCAGUCUACUUCUGUGUCUUGCAAGUUACUUUAGUGCUUCACUUUUCCCCCUAAUAACCAACAUCUUUGCUAAAUUCUAAACUGCUCCCAGUUUUCAGACUUGCUAGUUUUUCAAGUUAUUUUAUGAGUCCUCUUUGGAUCUAAUAUUUUCCUUCAUUUCCUUUGUUACCAUGGUUGGGCCACUUUCUCUAUCAUAUUUUUCCAUCCAAAGCAAAUGCAGUGCUAAAUAUGUAAGUGAGCUUGCUGAGUUUGAAGGUUUGUUUUCAGAUGUUUCGUCACCAUACUAGUAACAUCAGUGAGAGUCUCU